CCUACGGGAGGCAGCAGUGAGGAAUAUUGGUCAAUGGCCGAGAGGCUGAACCAGCCAAGUCGCGUGAGGGAAGACGGCCCUACGGGUUGUAAACCUCUUUUGUCGGGGAGCAAAGCGAGUCACGUGUGACUCAUUGAGAGUACCCGAAGAAAAAGCAUCGGCUAACUCCGUGCCAGCAGCCGCGGUAAUACGGAGGAUGCGAGCGUUAUCCGGAUUUAUUGGGUUUAACGGGUGCGCAGGCGGAGGUGCAAGUCAGCGGUCAAAUUGCGGGGCUCAACCCCGUACUGCCGUUGAAACUGGAGCCCUUGAGUGCGCGAGAAGUAUGCGGAAUGCGUGGUGUAGCGGUGAAAUGCAUAGAUAUCACGCAGAACUCCGAUUGCGAAGGCAGCAUACCGGCGCGCAACUGACGCUCAUGCACGAAAGCGUGGGUAUCGAACAGGAUUAGAUACCCGGGUAGUC
rnacentral:rRNA from 1 species